UACGAAGGGGGCUAGCGUUGUUCGGAAUUACUGGGCGUAAAGCGCACGUAGGCGGAUCGAUCAGUCAGGGGUGAAAUCCCAGGGCUCAACCCUGGAACUGCCUUUGAUACUGUCGAUCUGGAGUAUGGAAGAGGUGAGUGGAAUUCCGAGUGUAGAGGUGAAAUUCGUAGAUAUUCGGAGGAACACCAGUGGCGAAGGCGGCUCACUGGUCCAUUACUGACGCUGAGGUGCGAAAGCGUGGGGAGCAAACAGGGAUUA
rnacentral:rRNA from 1 species